AGUUCUGUAGCUCAAUGACAGAGCACAUGGCUUACAACCGUGUGAUCUCCGGGUUCAACUCAGGCAGAACUACCA
rnacentral:tRNA from 1 species